rnacentral:rRNA from 1 species
GACGAACGCUGGCGGCGUGCUUAACACAUGCAAGUCGAAUGAUGAAGCCGGAGCUUGCUCUGGUGAAUUAGUGGCGAACGGGUGAGUAACACGUGAGUAACCUGCCCUUGACUCUGGGAUAACUGCGGGAAACUGUAGCUAAUACCGGAUACGACCCUCGGAGGCAUCUCCUGGGGGUGGAAAGAAUUUCGGUCAAGGAUGGACUCGCGGCCUAUCAGCUAGUUGGUGAGGUAAAGGCUCACCAAGGCGACGACGGGUAGCCGGCCUGAGAGGGUGACCGGCCACACUGGGACUGAGACACGGCCCAGACUCCUACGGGAGGCAGCAGUGGGGAAUUUUGGACAAUGGGCGCAAGCCUGAUGCAGCAACGCCGCGUGAGGGACGACGGCCUUCGGGUUAUAAACCUCUUUUAGUAGGGAAGAAGCGAAAGUGACGGUACCUGCAGAAAAAGCACCGGCUAACUACGUGCCAGCAGCCGCCGUAA